rnacentral:rRNA from 1 species
UUAAAGUAGUAAGGGCGCAGGGUGGAUGCCUUGGCACUAAGAGCCGAUGAAAGACGUGAUAAGCUGCGAAAAGCUUCGGGGAGGAGCACAUAUCCAAUGAUCCGGAGAUAUCUGAAUGGGGAAACCCGGCAGAGGAAACCUCUGUCAGCGUGCAGUGAAUACAUAGCUGUACGUGGGGAACCCGGGGAACUGAAACAUCUAAGUACCCGGAGGAAGAGAAAGAAAAUUUAUCGAUUUCCAAAGUAGCGGCGAGCGAAAUGGAAAGAGCCCAAACCGUGAUGCGUGCAUCGCGGGGUUCGGACUGCGUUGUGGCAGACGUAAGAUAGGAGAACGGACUGGGAAGUCCGGCCGGAGAGAGUGAAAGCCUCGUAUCCGAAAUCCCAAGUCGCCUAGCAGGAUCCAGAGUAGGACGAGACACGAGAAACCUUGUCUGAACGAGCGGGGACCACCCCGUAAGGCUAAAUACUUCUUAGUGACCGAUAGCGCAUAGUACUGUGAAGGAAAGGUGAAAAGUACCCCGGGAGGGGAGUGAAAGAGAACCUGAAACCCUGUGUCUACAAGCUGUGGGACCUCUUUAUAUGAGGGACUGCGUACUUUUUGUAGAACGGUCCGGCGAGUUGUGCGUACUGGCGAGGUUAAGGACUUAAGGUCUGGAGCCGAAGUGAAAGCAAGCGUUAAUAGCGCGUCAAGUCAGUGAGUGCAGACCCGAAACCGGGUGACCUAUCCAUGUCCAGGUUGAAGCUUCCGUAAGAGGAAGUGGAGGACCGAACCCACAUCCGUUGAAAAGGGUGGGGAUGAGGUGUGGAUAGCGGAGAAAUUCCAAUCGAACCCGGAGAUAGCUGGUUCUCCUCGAAAUAGCUUUAGGGCUAGCCUCAUGAGAGUCUUAUGGAGGUAGAGCACUGAAUUGCCUAGGGGGCGUCAAAGCUUACCAAAGCAUAUCAAACUCCGAAUGCCAUCAAGAUGAUUCAUGGGAGUCAGACCAUACGAGAUAAGUUGGAUGGUCAAAAGGGAAAGAGCCCAGACCUACAGCUAAGGUCCCAAAGUACGUGUUAAGUGGAAAAGGAUGUGGGGAUUCUAAGACAACUAGGACGUUGGCUUAGAAGCAGCCAUUCAUUGAAAGAGUGCGUAAUAGCUCACUAGUCGAGAGUCCCUGCGCCGAAAAUGUCCGGGGCUGAAACACGACACCGAAGCUUAGGAAUGUGUAAACAUUGGUAGAGGAGCAUUGCUAGCGGGAUGAAGCCAUACCGUAAGGAGUGGUGGACUGCCAGGAAGAGAGAAUGCCGGAAUGAGUAGCGAGAUGAAGGUGAGAAUCCUUCAGGCCGAAUAUCUAAGGUUUCCAGAGUAAAGCUGAUCUGCUCUGGGUAAGUCGGGACCUAAGGCGAGGUCGAAAGACGUAGUCGAUGGAUAACAGGUUGAAAUUCCUGUACCGCAUAUAAACAGAACUGUGGGGACACAGACAGGGAAUGGAAUCCGGGAGUGGAGAUCCCGGUGCAAGCGAGGUAGGAGUGCUGUUGGCAAAUCCGCAGCACGAUCUGAAGACGUGACGCGUACCGAACAUAAGUAGGGAAGUCCAGGCCCCUGGCUGUCAAGAAAAGCCGCUAUUGUUUUAUAUGUGCCCGUACCGCAAACCGACACAGGUGGAUGAGGAGAGAAUCCUAAGGCCGACGGGAGAAGUAUUGUUAAGGAACUCGGCAAAAUGACUCCGUAACUUCGGGAGAAGGAGUGCCAUGAGAGUGGCCGCAGAGAAAUGGCCCAAGCAACUGUUUAGCAAAAACACAGGUCUAUGCAAAACCGCAAGGUGAAGUAUAUGGGCUGACGCCUGCCCGGUGCUGGAAGGUUAAGGGGAGAGGUUAGCGCAAGCGAAGCUUUGAACUUAAGCCCCAGUAAACGGCGGCCGUAACUAUAACGGUCCUAAGGUAGCGAAAUUCCUUGUCGGGUAAGUUCC